CAGCCGCCACGGUAAUACAGAGGGUGCAAGCGUUAAUCGGAAUUACUGGGCGUAAAGUGCGCGUAGGUGGUUUGUUAAGUUGGAUGUGAAAUCCCCGGGCUCAACCUGGGAACUGCAUCCAAAACUGGCAAGCUAGAGUAUGGUAGAGGGUGGUGGAAUUUCCUGUGUAGCGGUGAAAUGCGUAGAUAUAGGAAGGAACACCAGUGGCGAAGGCGACCACCUGGACUGAUACUGACACUGAGGUGCGAAAGCGUGGGGAGCAAACAGGAUUAGAUACCCCAGUAGUCCCUGUCUCUUAUAC
rnacentral:rRNA from 1 species